rnacentral:lncRNA from 1 species
UGUGCCGUGCAGAAAUUGACACAAGUGUAUUAAAAUCACACAGUUCAUAAUAUGUAUUUACUUCGAAACCAAAGCAAAAUGAUGUGCCUGUAAGUGAUAUUUUAGUUCAAGCGGGUUGGUCAAAUUCAACGACCUUUGGAAAAUUGUUUUACAAGACAGUAAGUACAAGUGAUGGUUUUGCAGCAAACGAAGUGUUAAAAAUUUGACUGUAUUAAAUGUUUGUUUUAUGAUUGAGUGUUUAAUGAGAACAAUAUGAAUGCUACAUAAUGUAUAUGUCUUUAAUCUUCUUGGUGCAAACAUUUCUAAGUGUAACUUAUAACAUUUGCAUCAUAGGUAUGCAUCGUUACUAAAGGGACAAAUAAG